rnacentral:sRNA from 12 species
UUAGGUAGGACUUAGUAAGCAGGUUUGCUGAAAACGACGCCUUGAGCGAAGGAGCGCCUGACCCGUUAAACUCGCCGCCGAUGCCUCGCCGCCGGACGCUUGUGUGCAUGGCCGGGGAUGUGCGGUACCCGGUUGCAUGGCGGCGACUACGCAGUUAGAACCCGCACCCGACAAUAAGACUGUACGGAGGCGCAAAAAUGAGCAACGAGGAG